rnacentral:rRNA from 1 species
CCUACGGGGUGCAGCAGUGGGGAAUAUUGGACAAUGGGCGAAAGCCUGAUCCAGCCAUGCCGCGUGUGUGAAGAAGGCCUUCGGGUUGUAAAGCACUUUCAGUGGGGAAGAAAGCCUUGGGGCUAAUACCCUCGAGGAAGGACAUCACCCACAGAAGAAGCACCGGCUAACUCCGUGCCAGCAGCCGCGGUAAUACGGAGGGUGCGAGCGUUAAUCGGAAUUACUGGGCGUAAAGCGCGCGUAGGCGGUCUGAUAAGCCGGUUGUGAAAGCCCCGGGCUCAACCUGGGAACGGCAUCCGGAACUGUCAGGCUAGAGCGCAGGAGAGGAAGGUAGAAUUCCCGGUGUAGCGGUGAAAUGCGUAGAGAUCGGGAGGAAUACCAGUGGCGAAGGCGGCCUUCUGGACUGACACUGACGCUGAGGUGCGAAAGCGUGGGUAGCAAACAGGAUUAGAUACCCCAGUAGUC